CCGGGCCGGUGACGGAGCGCGCAGAUGCCGCCGUGAUGGGAGAUUAGCAGAGCCGUGGCUCGGGACCGUGUUCUUCUCCUGAUCCGUAGCUCAACAAGUUGGAUUUCCGGCAGGCUGUAGUAAAUGACGAGUGAGACCAAGGAGGAGCUGUCUCCCACCUCUCGCCACGCUUGUUUUGGAUCUCCGUUGACGCCUGCGGGACCCCGAGCACCGGAGUUCGGCGGUUGGAGGAAUACACGGCGGCGCUUGUCCGUAUGUAGUUCCUGAUGCAACGCAGUAGGAGAGCUGCCGUGAUGUAAGAGGUCAAGACAACGAGCUUCCAAUGGAGCCGCUGCACUACCCCGCGGUGGCGAUAGGAAGUGCAGAGCUACACCCCCAUGGCAACAGCCAGCGUCGACGGGCAGGUGUGUGCGGCGGAGGGGGGACUCAGAACCGAGGGGGAUGCUGAACCCCAAGCAUCUGAGCAAUUGAUUGGCUAGAUUGAUCCAAAAACUACAGGAUGGACUCGCAGGGUUAGAAUUGGAACAGCUGCUCCAGGAAGGGCGCCUUGCCCUGGGCGACACAGCGCCCUAGAGAAAGCAAUACGGGGGUUUGCUGACAAACCGGGCGACAUUGUAGUCGUGCCUGCACUGGGUACAAGCUUCGGUACCCUCGGGGGAGGCCUAUGAUUUUUACAAUCUCUACUUGUGGGAGAAGGGAUUUGGAAUAAGAUACUGGAAGAGUAGGCUGAAUGUGGAGAGGACAAAAUAAGCAGGAAAUUGUUUGCGGUUGUGUAGUAGGCAUUUGUACACAUGUAUCUAAUUCCAUCUUCUCUCUAGCACACAUGUGUUGCUCAUACUCAUCCAUAUGCUUUAUAGGAAUUUCCUUGUUCACGAAAUGCCUAGAUUCAUAAGGAUCAGAGGUGUUGCUUUGAAGGAACAGCUUGCCGGGAACAUGCUUAUGGAUCAUGAAUUGAUGUCACAAAUCUCGUGCCACUACUCACAGCUUGACAUGGAACCAAUCAAACCAGGAAUCGCCCUAUCUCACAUGGAGGCACCGAAUUAAACCUAAAUUUCGAUGAGGAAUAUCUUGCAUGAUGCUUAAACUGCUACUGCCAUUCCAUACACAAGAGCCUCCUGAUAAUGUUUCAUCAUUUUGUGUGCAGACUCUUGUCUUAUCCCAUGGUGUUCUCCCUGGUCGGCAGCACCGAUUCUAACUCUGAAGUCAGCGUGCACACGUGGAUGUCGGUAUAGUGACAAUUUAUCCACAAACAAAAUAUAGGUUUUCCCCCUUCAUCCAAUGACUGCCUACUUAAUUUUAUCCAUUGUAGUCAUGUGUUUGAUGACUUUGUAAGUUCAGUACUGCCUACAAUUCCCGCAGAAAUUUUCAACUCUAAUCCACAUAUAAAAGAACACAAGCCUGCAGCACUCUUAUAAAAAAAUGCAUUGCUUCUUCACUCUGACGAACAACUCUUAGCUGUCACAUUCGUUAGUAAAGAGCUCAUUUUCUUCGGCACCCAAUGUUUACCAGCGCCUACCAAAACUGUAAAUUACUGAACCAACACUUUAUGUGUCCCCGAACACUUUCAGUGUCCAACUAAAUCUCUAAUUGUUCACACUAUUCUGAUAUCCCACAUAAAAAUGAGCAUAUUCAGUUGGUAGAACUUUUCUUGUUUCAUGCAUACUUGAAUGUACUGGCAUGAUGUUAGGUGUGGCGAUAGCAAUAUGGCUUGUUUCAAAAUAAAAAAGAAACCCCUCUGCAUGCAUAUUUGAACUGAUUUCAAGUUAGUAUGCAUUAUGUAUGUCUGCCCGCGGAAUGGUGUCUUGUUUUCUGAAGUUUUUGACAAUAUGGUCAUGCAUUCUGAAUUUUUCGACAGUACGCACGUCCAGUCUGAAUUUUCCGGCUGUAUGGUAGUGAAUUCUGAAUUUUUGACAUAAUCAACAUGCCUAUAGACUGGUGUACAUAUUUUUGACAGAACCACCAGCUCUAAGAAUGGAACGUACGAGGGACUCAACAAACGGACAAGGUUCUGGAGCAUAUGUCGGCAGCAGGGGCACAAGAGGACUACGUGCCUGGACCGGGUGAUGCCCCGAAGACUGUUCGCAAACCAGCGAGGUGCAAACAUUGUGGAAUCGAAAGACACAGGCGAAACAACUGCCACAAAGUGGGUGAUCUGCGGAUGAUUGGACUGUGAGCAGUUGCAAAAAUCUGUUUGUUUAGACUAUAAAUCUGUAAAACUUCAUGUGUGCGUUGGUAGUUUGAUUAGUAGAACUUCUCUAUUUUCAUGCUUGCUGGGUGUAUUCAGCUGCUGUUAUGCAUAGCAAAACCAACUAUGUAUAAUCUGAAGAUGAUGUAUGCUUGAACUGGUCUGAAACUGUGCGUAUGAGGGUGCGUCCGUAGUUCCGUCAGUAGAACUUCUCUACUGUCAUGAUUUCCUGAGUGUAGUCAGCUGAUGUUAUGCAUGGCAAAACCAAAUUAUGUAUUGUCUGAAAAUAAUGUAUGGUUG